rnacentral:sRNA from 1 species
UAUCCUGCGCGGAACGCACUGAUUUUGCCCCUGCAGCCGGGCGGGAUGUCUGCAAUUCCGGAUUUCAUACACAGCGGAGUACGGAUUUAUAGCCGGAAAACUUGGAGCUCAUGGUCCGGACGCAAACGCAUUCGUAAAUCGUUUAAACUCUGAUAAUCGCUCAGAUUUGUUUAUGGGUCACGCUUAAGAUAAAUGUGCGGCACGGUAUUUGUCGAUAUAUAUAUAUUCAAAUAUAUAUGUUAGCCCCGGUGACAGACGACCUUCAGUAGCUGGAAUGAGCUGAAAGCUUUGAGGUGAUGGUAGAAAUCAAUGGAACUCUAACUAAUCCCCGAAAUUUGCCAGAAGAAGUCCCUUCUACAAGCAAGUAAGCGAUAUGAAAUUAUCAAUGGUGUGCGUUGGGUGGCCCAAUAAGUGCGGUAAGCGGAGAGUGACACUUUCCAGCAAGCAAAUCACAGACAUUAGCCGUCACCUGGGGGAAAACGAGAAUCUGGGCUCAUCAUUGCACCCGUGUGGCCAGGGUUCGCCUUUCUGGGGCAGACAAUGGGGACACAGCCAGAAGCCAACAGAUUUUCUGAUGUAUGCAAAUUGUGCUGCAAGCUCGCAUUUUAAAUCGGGACUGUAUUCCGCUUGUACAUGCAUACUUAUAUAUAUAUAUAUCGUAUGUGCAUA